GAUGAAGAACGCAGCGAAAUGCGAUAAGUAAUGCGAAUUGCAGAAUCCGUGAGUCAUCGAAUCUUUGAACGCACAUUGCGCCCUCUGGUAUUCCGGGGGGCAUGCCUGUCCGAGCGUCAUUACAACCCUCAAGCUCAGCUUGGUGUUGGGGCCUGCUGCACUGGCAGCCCUUAAAAUCAGUGGCGGCGCCAUCUGGCUCUAAGCGUAGUAAUUCUUCUCGCUAUGGAGUCCUGGUGGAUGCUUGCCAUCAACCCCCAAUUUUUCUAUGGUUGACCUCGGAUCAGGUAGGGAUACCCGCUGAACUUAAGCAUAUCAAUAAGCGGAGGA
rnacentral:misc_RNA from 1 species